UCCGCUACAUCGCAAACCGGAAACAUCGUCGCGGGCUAGUUAUUUCGGAUUAUAAAGUAUUGUUAAUAGACGCAUCAUUCUGCACUGACGGACAGCGGACCCGCUGGUGCACGAAAUU
rnacentral:sRNA from 1 species